CUCAAUUUUCUCUCGUUCUUCCACGACAACAAAACGCUCUCACUUCAUACUAUCCUCGACAUAAGACCUUAACAAGCAAAAACAUUAAAAUUUCCGGGCCAAACACAAGAUCUACAGAAAUCUUUAUCGAGAAUUAUUGACAAUAUGUUGGUGAUGGACAAGUACAUUGUGGGAACUUUUCUUGCUUCUCUUUUUGGAUCUUUUCUUCUCUAUAUUUUACUCUUUAAAACUACCAAAUCCCAUAAGCGAAAGGACCAAGAAGAAGAACGUGAAAUGAGUAGGGGUGGCUACCAGAUUCGAAGCGACACGACUGUUGGUGAACGCCGGAAUGACGAAGGAUCCGACCUGGAUGUUAUUAUUGUAGGCGCUGGUGUUGCUGGUGCUGCUCUAGCUUACACUCUGGGCAAGGAUGGACGACGAGUACAUGUGAUUGAAAGAGAUUUAUCUGAGCCGCACAGAAUUGUUGGUGAAUUACUACAACCAGGUGGAUAUCUCAAAUUGAUAGAGUUGGGCCUCGAAGAUUGUGUUGAGAAUAUUGAUGCCCAGAGGGUGGUUGGAUAUGCUCUUUCCAAGGAUGGAAAAAACACUAAACUUUCCUAUCCCUUGGAGAAGUUUCACUCAGAUGUGGCUGGGAGAAGCUUUCAUAACGGACGCUUCAUACAGAUGAUGAGAGGGAAAGCAGCGACUCUUCUCAAUGUGAAGCUCGAGCAAGGUACUGUAACAUCUCUACUUGAGGAAAAUGGAACAAUAAAAGGAGUGCAGUACAAGACUAAAGCCGGUCUGGAGCUUAAAGCAUAUGCUCCUCUGACUAUAGUUUGUGAUGGCUGCUUUUCAAAUUUGCGUCGUUCUCUUUGCAGCUCUAUGGUCGAUAUUCCCUCCUGUUUCGUUGGUUUGGUAUUGGAGAACUGUCAACUUCCAUUUCCAAACCAUGGGCAUGUUAUUCUAGCAGAUCCUUCACCGAUCCUAUUUUAUCCAAUCAGUAGCACUGAAAUUCGAUGCUUAGUUGAUGUACCUGGUCGAAAGCUUCCGUCUCUGGCUGAUGGUGAAAUGGCAAAUUAUUUGAAAACAGUUGUAGCUCCCCAGGUUCCAACCCAGUUACAUGAGGCAUUCAUAUCGGCCAUUGAUAAAGGAAAUAUUCGAACAAUGCCAAACAGAAGCAUGCCAGCUGCUUCCCACCCUACUCCUGGAGCCUUAUUAAUGGGUGAUGCCUUCAACAUGCGUCAUCCUUUAACCGGUGGAGGCAUGACAGUGGCACUCUCUGAUAUUGUUGUGCUCCGAAAUCUUCUUAAGCCCUUGUGCAACUUGAAGGAUGCGGAUUCAUUGUGUAAAUAUCUCGAGUCUUUCUACACUUUGCGCAAGCCAGUGGCCUCGACGAUUAAUACUUUGGCUGGAGCACUACACAAAGUGUUUUGUGCUUCGUCUGAUCAAGCGAGGAUGGAAAUGCGCCAAGCUUGCUUUGAUUACUUAAGCCUUGGAGGUGUUUGUUCGAGAGGACCUGUGGCUUUGCUCUCGGGUCUAAAUCCUCGCCCACUGAGUUUAGUAUUCCAUUUCUUUGCCGUUGCUAUAUAUGGCGUUGGUCGAUUAUUGAUACCAUUUCCUUCUCCCAAACGGCUGUGGAUUGGAGCUAGAUUGAUUUCGGGUGCGUCGGCUAUCAUUUUUCCCAUCAUAAAGGCGGAGGGAGUUCGACAAAUGUUCUUUCCUGCUAGUGUUCCAUCGUACUAUAGAGCUCCUCAGCUCAAAUGAAAGUAGCAUCAUGAACAAGGAUGGAACAAAUUGUACAGCCAGAAGAAACAAUUAUGGCAUAUUUGUUGUAUACAGAAAGAACUUACGAGCAGAUAGUUGUUUAGACCCGCGGUACUGUGAAUAUACUCAAGAUUGGAUAGUGAGCAAGUGGAAGUAACGAGACACUGAUCAUGGCUGAUAAAUCACAGCUCUCUUCCACUCUUCUCCCUCUGAUUAUCAAAUUGAAAUCUCUUUAUACGCUCAGAUGACCUGUUACUCUUCUCUCCCUCGCCUCUGCCUCUGCUGAAACUUUUUCACAAUGGCUUGGGUCUAUAGGGAUAUGUUGAUGGAAAAAUCUCUCCAUCCAGACGCUCUUUUUCAAAACUAGAAAGAAUUCCAAAUCCUGCUAAUGAGUUUUGGGUACGGCAAGAUAAGCAAUUUUUUGGAGCUAUUAUUGCCUCAAUAUCCGAAGAAACCCAGAUGUAUGUCACAGCUUGCAGUACAUCUCUUGAGGCAUGGAGUAAACUUGAAGAAAGGUAUGCUAGGCCUUCCCGUGGGCAAAUACUUGGCAUCAAAGCGAGACUAGCUGCUUUGAUUGGUGCUCGAAAAAUUCUAAAUAUCUUGAUGACAUCAAAACAGCGGCUGAUGAACAUGGACUGUGGUAUCAACCACUUGAUGACGAAGAUUUGACAAAGAAUAUUAUCAAUCGGUGGAAUCCUGACUUCAAGUCUAUCUCUGCGUAGGGACAUAUCCAUCUCUUUUGUAUGGCAGCCACCUU